UGCCUGCAAAACCUUGCAUUUUCUGCAAUUUUUGCCUGAUAUCCCCCUGGGCCUGCUCUACAAAUGCUGUGUUCAGCAUGUGCUGGCCUCACUAAGUCUUUUAUAAAACUGGCUGGGGCUUUCAUAUGCACCCUGAAGCACCCAUGAGAUUUUUCCCUAUAUUGAUUGCCUUUCUCCCGCCUUCCCUUAAACUUUGCAGGAGUGCCUCUUGGUAUCUGGGCAGCUGCUGUAGUUGGGCUGCCUCAUUUGGAUCCUAGUCGGGGUCCUCUUGUUUCCCAGAGAGGCAUUUGCAUAGCCCAAACAUGACCUGACUGGAGACAGUUUGCUUUAUUUUCCUAGCAUUUCACCUUAACUUCCUGGAGUGAGGGCUCAGAUUUUUCCAUCUCAGGUCUCUAAGGAAUGCUGUCUCCUCCCUGCUGUGAGAGACACGAAGUGAACUUAGUGUUGGAAGAUGGAAGCUGGAUGGCUCUCGGAGGCUGACCCACAGGGACUUCAGGAUAUAGCAGAGAGAGCUUGGCAUGACUUAUUACUCCAGGCUGUAGAAUCCUGGAAAAGAGUUACCAUGCAGCCUACGCCUGGUCAACUGGAGGACCACCGUAGUGGAAAGGGGACAAUUAGGGCCUCUGGCCUGCCGUGUGCACAAGCAUAACAAUUGCUUUUGUUUAACGUGCAGAUGGAAUAUUUGAUCUAUUUCAACCAGGCAUUUGCAUCUUGGUAUGCUGUCUUAAUUGCCAAAGUUUUUUUUAAGUCUUUAACUUCUGUGAUCUUCUAGUAAAAUGAAUGUUUCCUUUA